rnacentral:rRNA from 1 species
GGUUAAGCGACUAAGCGUACACGGUGGAUGCCCUGGCAGUCAGAGGCGAUGAAGGGCGUGCUAAUCUGCGAUAAGCGCCGGUAAGGUGAUAUGAACCGUUAUAACCGGCGAUACCCGAAUGGGGAAACCCAGUGUGACUCGUCACACUAUCAUUAACUGAAUCCAUAGGUUAAUGAGGCGAACCGGGGGAACUGAAACAUCUAAGUACCCCGAGGAAAAGAAAUCAACCGAGAUUCCCCCAGUAGCGGCGAGCGAACGGGGAGGAGCCCAGAGCCUGAAUCAGCAUGUGUGUUAGUGGAAGCGUCUGGAAAGGCGCGCGAUACAGGGUGACAGCCCCGUACACAAAAGCGCAUGUGCUGUGAGCUCGAUGAGUAGGGCGGGACACGUGGUAUCCUGUCUGAAUAUGGGGGGACCAUCCUCCAAGGCUAAAUACUCCUGACUGACCGAUAGUGAACCAGUACCGUGAGGGAAAGGCGAAAAGAACCCCGGCGAGGGGAGUGAAAAAGAACCUGAAACCGUGUACGUACAAGCAGUGGGAGCCCCACCACUAAGCCAGUGGUGAACUCCACAUACGCAUCCUUUGCUGAGGAUACGGUUAACGGAGCGAAAGCGACGUUCAACCUCAAAAGAAGCAGAGGGGGCUUAGUGGUGGGGUGACUGCGUACCUUUUGUAUAAUGGGUCAGCGACUUAUAUUCUGUAGCAAGGUUAACCGAAUAGGGGAGCCGGAGGGAAACCGAGUCUUAACCGGGCGUUAAGUUGCAGGGUAUAGACCCGAAACCCGGUGAUCUAGCCAUGGGCAGGUUGAAGGUUGGGUAACACUAACUGGAGGACCGAACCGACUAAUGUUGAAAAAUUAGCGGAUGACCUGUGGCUGGGGGUGAAAGGCCAAUCAAACCGGGAGAUAGCUGGUUCUCCCCGAAAGCUAUUUAGGUAGCGCCUCGUGAAUUCAUCUCCGGGGGUAGAGCACUGUUUCGGCUAGGGGGUCAUCCCGACUUACCAACCCGAUGCAAACUGCGAAUACCGGAGAAUGUUAUCACGGGAGACACACGGCGGGUGCUAACGUCCGUCGUGAAGAGGGAAACAACCCAGACCGCCAGCUAAGGUCCCAAAGUCAUGGUUAAGUGGGAAACGAUGUGGGAAGGCCCAGACAGCCAGGAUGUUGGCUUAGAAGCAGCCAUCAUUUAAAGAAAGCGUAAUAGCUCACUGGUCGAGUCGGCCUGCGCGGAAGAUGUAACGGGGCUAAACCAUGCACCGAAGCUGCGGCAGCGACACUGAUGUGUUGUUGGGUAGGGGAGCGUUCUGUAAGCCUGUGAAGGUGGCCUGUGAGGGUUGCUGGAGGUAUCAGAAGUGCGAAUGCUGACAUAAGUAACGAUAAAGCGGGUGAAAAGCCCGCUCGCCGGAAGACCAAGGGUUCCUGUCCAACGUUAAUCGGGGCAGGGUGAGUCGACCCCUAAGGCGAGGCCGAAAGGCGUAGUCGAUGGGAAACGGGUUAAUAUUCCCGUACUUGGUGUUACUGCGAAGGGGGGACGGAGAAGGCUAUGUUGGCCGGGCGACGGUUGUCCCGGUUUAAGCGUGUAGGUGUGUGUUCCAGGUAAAUCCGGUUCACUUUAACACUGAGGCGUGAUGACGAGGCACUACGGUGCUGAAGCAACAAAUGCCCUGCUUCCAGGAAAAGCCUCUAAGCAUCAGGUAACAUCAAAUCGUACCCCAAACCGACACAGGUGGUCAGGUAGAGAAUACCAAGGCGCUUGAGAGAACUCGGGUGAAGGAACUAGGCAAAAUGGUGCCGUAACUUCGGGAGAAGGCACGCUGACACGUAGGUGAAGUGAUUUACUCAUGGAGCUGAAGUCAGUCGAAGAUACCAGCUGGCUGCAACUGUUUAUUAAAAACACAGCACUGUGCAAACACGAAAGUGGACGUAUACGGUGUGACGCCUGCCCGGUGCCGGAAGGUUAAUUGAUGGGGUUAUCCGUAAGGAGAAGCUCCUGAUCGAAGCCCCGGUAAACGGCGGCCGUAACUAUAACGGUCCUAAGGUAGCGAAAUUCCUUGUCGGGUAAGUUCCGACCUGCACGAAUGGCGUAAUGAUGGCCAGGCUGUCUCCACCCGAGACUCAGUGAAAUUGAACUCGCUGUGAAGAUGCAGUGUACCCGCGGCAAGACGGAAAGACCCCGUGAACCUUUACUAUAGCUUGACACUGAACACUGGUCCUUGAUGUGCAGGAUAGGUGGGAGGCUUUGAAGCGCGGACGCCAGUUCGUGUGGAGCCAUCCUUGAAAUACCACCCUUUAAUGGCUGGUGUUCUAACGUAGACCCGUGAUCCGGGUUGCGGACAGUGUCUGGUGGGUAGUUUGACUGGGGCGGUCUCCUCCUAAAGAGUAACGGAGGAGCACGAAGGUUAGCUAAUCCUGGUCGGACAUCAGGAGGUUAGUGCAAAGGCAUAAGCUAGCUUGACUGCGAGCGUGACGGCGCGAGCAGGUGCGAAAGCAGGUCUUAGUGAUCCGGUGGUUCUGAAUGGAAGGGCCAUCGCUCAACGGAUAAAAGGUACUCCGGGGAUAACAGGCUGAUACCGCCCAAGAGUUCAUAUCGACGGCGGUGUUUGGCACCUCGAUGUCGGCUCAUCACAUCCUGGGGCUGAAGUAGGUCCCAAGGGUAUGGCUGUUCGCCAUUUAAAGUGGUACGCGAGCUGGGUUUAGAACGUCGUGAGACAGUUCGGUCCCUAUCUGCCGUGGGCGCUGGAGAACUGAGGGGGGCUGCUCCUAGUACGAGAGGACCGGAGUGGACGCAUCACUGGUGUUCGGGUUGUCAUGCCAAUGGCACUGCCCGGUAGCUAAAUGCGGAAGAGAUAAGUGCUGAAAGCAUCUAAGCACGAAACUUGCCCCGAGAUGAGUUCUCCCUGAGACUUAGAGUCUCCUGAAGGAACGUUGAAGACGACGACGUUGAUAGGCCGGGUGUGUAAGCGCAGCGAUGCGUUGAGCUAACCGGUACUAAUGAACCGUGAGGCUUAACCUU